AAGUCGUAACAAGGUUUCCGUAGGUGAACCUGCGGAAGGAUCAUUAAUACGUAUCUAACGUAUCAAAACCCAAUCGUGAAUUGUUAGCCUUCUGGUUGCGAGUGUAAUGUUGCAAGAAAAGUUCAGAAAGCGUGGGCUUUUGCUUCAAAAGCCUGAACAAAAUGUAUUGCAUCAUUUAGACGUUUUAGGAUGUCUGGCUCAUGAUCAGAAGUGUAUUUUAUAUAAUAAAACUAAACAUUUUCCCAUGCUUUUUAGUUUUAUUAUUUUUUCUAACUUAAAAACCCCAAGUACUAAUUUAAAGAACUAAAUCGUUUUUUAUCGCGAUUUUCUAGUUGUGAUAAAAAUCCAAAACCGAAAAGAACAACUCUUAACAACGGAUAUCUUGGUUCUC
rnacentral:misc_RNA from 1 species